UCGGGAAUUUUGGGCAAUGGGCGAAAGCCUGACCCAGCAACGCCGCGUGAAGGAUGAAGUAUUUCGGUAUGUAAACUUCGAAAGAAUAGGAAGAAUAAAUGACGGUACUAUUUAUAAGGUCCGGCUAACUACGUGCCAGCAGCCGCGGUAAUACGUAGGGACCAAGCGUUGUUCGGAUUUACUGGGCGUAAAGGGCGCGUAGGCGGCAAUUCAAGUCAUCUGUGAAAUCUCCGGGCUUAACUCGGAACGGUCAGAUGAUACUGCUUUGCUAGAGUGCAGAAGGGGCAAUCGGAAUUCUUGGUGUAGCGGUGAAAUGCGUAGAUAUCAGGAGGAACACCCAUGGCGAAGGCAGCACUCUGGGCUGGUAUUGACGCUGAGGAGCGAAAGCAUGGGUAGCGAACAGGAUUAGAUACCCCCGUAGUCCCUGAGCGGGCUGGCAAGGCGCAU
rnacentral:rRNA from 1 species